CAUUAGGUGACCGAAUG
rnacentral:tRNA from 1 species